ensembl:snoRNA
UUCCACUGAUGAUGCUUUGUUAGUGCCACAUGUCUGGGCCACUGAGAUCCCAUGAUGGAACUGAGCAUGUAUGAGGUA